UGGAACAUAAUAAAGACUUGCAAGUUCCAGG
rnacentral:piRNA from 1 species